rnacentral:rRNA from 1 species
UACGGAGGGUGCAAGCGUUGUCCGGAAUCACUGGGCGUAAAGGGCGCGUAGGCGGCUCAUGAAGGCUGUGGUGAAAGCCCGGGGCUCAACUCCGGAUCUGCGGUGGGUACGGGCAGACUAGAGUGAUGUAGGGGAGACUGGAAUUCCUGGUGUAGCGGUGAAAUGCGCAGAUAUCAGGAGGAACACCGAUGGCGAAGGCAGGUCUCUGGGCAUUAACUGACGCUGAGGAGCGAAAGCAUGGGGAGCGAACAGG